rnacentral:rRNA from 1 species
AACUUUUGACGGUGGAUCUCUUGGCUCACGCAUCGAUGAAGAACGCAGCCAGCUGCGAUAAGUAGUGUGAAUUGCAGAAUUCAGUGAAUCAUCGAAUCUUUGAACGCAAAUGGCGCUCUUGGGUUCUCCCAGGAGCAUGUCUGUCUGAGUGUCGGAACUUCAUCCAUC